UACGAUACAACUCACGAAAAGUGAUAUUUUCUCCACUAUGUUCUCCUAGCCAGGUGUCGUCGUUAGUUAAAAAUACCUCCUUAAUCUUUUGACGAUUCCACACAAUUGGGACUAUAAUAUUCUUAUCAAGUGUCUCCCUUCUUUUAAAACAGGUGUCUCCCUUCUUUUAAAACACAUUACAGUACUCUCAGAACAAAUCAACACCUCUUCAAUAGUAGGAGUCAAUUCAACAUCCCCAAAGCGAAAUACCAUAUU
rnacentral:lncRNA from 1 species